rnacentral:rRNA from 1 species
UAAGUCGGUAGUGAAAGCGUGGGGCUCAACCCCAUACACAUUAUCGAAACUGCUAAGCUUGAGGAUGAGAGAGGUUAUUGGAAUUCCCUGUGUAGGAGUGAAAUCCGUAGAUAUAGGGAGGAACACCGAUGGCGUAGGCAGAUAACUGGCUCAUUCCUGACACUAAGGCACGAAAGCGUGGGGAGCAAACGGGAUUAGAUACCCCGGUAGUCCACGCCGUAAACUAUGGAUGCUA